GCGGGUCUGGCGCGCGCCGCGCUGAGGGGGCGCCGCCGCUGGGGGGCGCCAGGGAGCGCAUCCACCGGGAUCGUUCUGAGGGGACUCGGGGAAUGGAGGGAGGGAUGGGACAGAACAGGACAGGACAGGGCUCUAGAGUCCCAGGGAUCCCGCCAUCAUCGAACCGGGGCACUGAGGGACGAAUGGUGUGGGAUGGAGGCCCGGGGGAUCUCGCCAUCGUCCCCUCAGGGAGCCGGGGCACUGAUGGAUGGACGCUGUAGGACGGUGUCCUACAGCCCGGGAGAUCCCGCCAUCGUCCCCUCAGGGAGCCGGGGAAGGCGGGAUGGACGGUGUGGGAUGAGUCCUACAGCCCGGUCAUCCCCUCAGGGAGCCGGACACUGAGGGGUGGAUGGUGUGGGCUGGGGCUCUACAGCCCGGGGAAGUUCACUGUGUUACAGGAAAAUAUUCGUUGUUUCUGUUCUUUUCCUGUAGCUCAAGCCAGUCUCGCUUCACUCGCGACAAAGCUGCUGCUUAAACCCCUUUUUGGCAACGGGUUCUGCGAAAGAUAAAACGAAACCAGGUGCUCAAAACCUACCCAGAACAGGUAAAGAGGAAAUCAGAGGCUUCUUGGCAAGCAAGAUCCUGAGCCCUCGGAGCAAUCCUGAGUGUGGUGGUUUGGCUUGUGCAUCCUUCCAGGAAAGGCUGAUGGAGCUGGGAGCACUGUGAGCUUCCUGCCUUGGACUGCAUCAUCUCCCAGCUGGCCCUUUUAAUGCCUGUCACCCCUCUGGCCUGGGACAGCUCUCCAAAGCAGCCUCCCUUCUGUCGCUGAGGAGGAUCAGGAUCAGGCUGAAGCACUUGGUGCUGCUGUUCUGCACUUUCCCACCCACCUGCUCACAGGGCUCUCAGGGACUGCUGCUCUGAAUGACUGUUCGGCAUCAGCACUGAAAACAGGGUGGUCCCUCUCUGUUCCCUCACAGCCAGCAAGGGUUCUGGCCCUUGGAGAGCUCCUUUUCUUCCCUGUGUGGAGGCCUUUUCAGGGAUCAGCUCCUUUUCCCGGAGGGUUUCUGCUGGGAGACUCCAUGAGACUCAGUGACUGCUGUUAGAGGCAGAGCAGUGCUCACUUCUGCCCUGACACCCUGGGGAUCCCCCAUGGACACCACUGGCUGUUGUGGACUUGCUUUGCUUGGACUUGGUUCUUUGGAAAGAAGAAAAACACUGACAACUGAAUGGAGAAGGAUCUUGAUGAGAUUUUCUUCUUAGGAAGAAAAGCCAGAAAAAACCCUACACAAGCUCUCCAAAGAAUGCAUUGAGAUGCUCCCUGCGCUUCCCCCAAGUGAUCUUUCCCUCACACAGACACAGGACUAGUGGAGCUGCAGAACACAUUUUUGAGUUAACAUUGAAAGAAAAGAAAAUAAAGAAAAUAAAUCAAGAAGAAAAUAAAGAAAACAAACCCUUGUCAAAUGGAGAUAAUGCACUAAAAAAGCCUGUGUGAACUCAGCCUCCUGGACCCUCUGCAGUGAAGAUCUUGAUGUUCAGAGGGAGUCAGAAGAGAGAGGACUCCUCAGCAAUCUGGGCUGUGGUGUUUUCCUACAAGAAGCAGUAGGAUCUGUGCUCCUGCUCCGCUCCCAUUCCUUCUCACCUCGCCGCUGACAGUCGCUAUCUCAGCCUGGAGCCUUAUAAAUUAGUAGACUCUGGGAAUGAAACAAGACUCGUUUCCACCCCGUGUCCUGCUGGAAUUCUUGGACCCUGAAGAACAGCAAUGAGGAGACAGCUACCCAAGCUUUCCUUACCUGUGAGUAUGGAUCUGAAGACAGGCACGAUAGCAGAUAAGAUGUGCUGACAGACAGGACGGCCCCGAUGGCAAAUUGCCCAUCAGGUGAGUAAAACCUGUGACUGAUGAGCCCCAUGAAAGGAUGAUUGUUA